rnacentral:rRNA from 1 species
GACGGGGGAUGCAAGCGUUAUCCGGAAUGAUUGGGCGUAAAGCGUCCGCAGGUGGCAGUUCAAGUCUGUUGUCAAAGACCGGGGCUUAACUUCGGAAAGGCAGUGGAAACUGAACAGCUAGAGUAUGGUAGGGGCAGAGGGAAUUCCUGGUGUAGCGGUGAAAUGCGUAGAGAUCAGGAAGAACAUCGGUGGCGAAGGCGCUCUGCUGGACCAUAACUGACACUCAGGGACGAAAGCUAGGGGAGCGAAUGGG